rnacentral:rRNA from 1 species
UAGUCGAGAGGUCCUGCGCCGAAAAUGUCCGGGGCUGAAACACACUGCCGAAGCUUUGGAAUUGAAUUAGUUCAAUUGGUAGAGGAGCAUUCUUAAAGAGACGAAGCAGUACCGGAAGGAGCUGUGGAUUUUUAAGAAGAGAGAAUGCCGGAAUGAGUAGCGAGAGGAAGGUGGGAAUCCUUCCGGCCGAAUAUCUAAGGUUUCCAGAGUAAAGCUGAUCUGCUCUGGGUAAGUCGGGGCCUAAGGCGAGGUCGAAAGACGUAGUCGAUGGAUAACAGGUUGAAAUUCCUGUACUAUCCUGUAACAGAACUGUGGGGACACAGGCAGAGAGCGUGAGCCGGGAAUGGAAAGACCGGUACAAGCGAGGUAGGAGUUCAGUUGGCAAAUCCGCUGAACAAUCUGAAGACGUGAUGUGGACCGAAAAGAAGUAGGGAAGCACGUGAGCUGACUGUCAAGAAAAGCCGCUAUUGUUUGCAGGAUACCCGUACCGUAAACCGACACAGGUGGAUGAGGAGAGAAUCCUAAGGCCGACGGGAGAAGCAUUGUUAAGGAACUCGGCAAAAUGACUCCGUAACUUCGGGAGAAGGAGUGCCAGUAAGAUGGCCGCAGAGAAUUGGCCCAAGCAACUGUUUAGCAAAAACACAGGUCUAUGCAAAACCGAAAGGUGAGGUAUAUGGGCUGACGCCUGCCCGGUGCUGGAAGGUUAAGGGGAGAGGUUAGCGCAAGCGAAGCUUUGAACUUAAGCCCCAGUAAACGGCGGCCGUAACUAUAACGGUCCUAAGGUAGCGAAAUUCCUUGUCGGGUAAGUUCCGACCCGCACGAAAGGCGUAAUGAUUUGGGCACUGUCUCAACAAUGCACCCGGUGAAAUUGAAAUACCAGUGAAGAUGCUGGUUACCUGCGCCAGGACGGAAAGACCCCAUGGAGCUUUACUCCAGCUUGAUACUGGGAUUCGGUAUUGUAUGUACAGGAUAGGUGGGAGGCUUUGAAGUGGUUACGCCAGUAGCCAUGGAGCCGCUGUUGGGAUACCACCCUUGCAGUACUGGGUUUCUAACCAGCAGCCGUGACCCGGCUGGGGGACAAUGUCAGGUGGGGAGUUUGACUGGGGCGGUCGCCUCCGAAAGGGUAUCGGAGGCGCUCAAAGGUUCCCUCAGAAUGGUUGGAAACCAUUCGAAGAGUGCAAAGGCAGAAGGGAGCUUGACUGCGACACCGACGG